rnacentral:tRNA from 2 species
UAGUUAAACUCUACUAUUAAGGG